rnacentral:rRNA from 1 species
UACGAGGGGGGCAAGCGUUGUUCGGAAUUAUUGGGCGUAAAGGGUGCGUAGGCGGUCUGAUAAGUCAUCCGUGAAAUCUAUGGGCUCAACCCAUAGUCUGCAGGCGAAACUGUCGGGCUUGAGUAUGGGAGAGGUGAGUGGAAUUUCCGGUGUAGCGGUGAAAUGCGUAGAUAUCGGAAGGAACACCUGUGGCGAAAGCGGCUCACUGGACCAUUACUGACGCUGAUGCACGAAAGCUAGGGGAGCAAACAGG